UUUGCAUUUUUGUGUUCUUUGUUCAUCAUAAAUUGAAAAGCCAUAAAGAGUUGAGAUAGGAGACGACCUGUUGUCUAGUUUGAUUCAUUUCAUCCAUAAAAAGAAAAGAAAAACGUGUUUGCAUUCAUUCCCCAGCUCCACUUUCCAUUUUUAGAUUUUGUGCAUUCAUUUCAAAAAAAAAAAGAUCUGCAUUUUCAUAGUUGUUUCUUUCUUAAAAAAAAAUAAAUAAAAAGUCAUACCAUUUUUAAUUUCGUGCAUACCAUAUUUCUUUCAUAAGUUUGUUAUUUGCAUUCAAAAAAAAAUCAUUCAGCUUAGUUUAUAUCAUUUUGGGUUCAAGUAUACAUUUUAGUUUCCAUUUCCG
rnacentral:lncRNA from 1 species